rnacentral:rRNA from 1 species
AGGCCUUAUACAUGCAAGUCGAGGGGCAGCAUUUACUUCGGUAAAUGGCGACCGGCGCACGGGUGAGUAACGCGUAUGCAACCUACCUUUAACUGGGGCAUAGCUCGAGGAAACUCGAAUUAAUUCCCCAUAGUACAUUAUAAUAUCUCAUGAUAUAAAUGUUAAAGAUUUAUCGGUUAAAGAUGGGCAUGCGUCUGAUUAGUUUGUUGGUAAGGUAACGGCUUACCAAGACUACGAUCAGUAGGGGGUCUGAGAGGAUGAUCCCCCACACUGGUACUGAGACACGGACCAGACAUCUACGGAUGGCAGCAGUAAGGAAUAUUGGGCAAUGGGCGCAAGCCUGACCCAGCCAUGCCGCGUGCAGGAUGACGACCCUAUGGGUUGUAAACUGCUUUUAUAUAGGAAGAAAAUACUCUUGCGAGAGGAUCUGACGGUACUAUAUGAAUAAGGACCG